UACGUAGGGUGCAAGCGUUGUCCGGAUUUAUUGGGCGUAAAGCGCUCGCAGGUGGUUCGUCGCGUCGUGCGUGAAAGACCCCGGCUCAACUGGGGAGGGUCGUGCGAUACGGGCGGACUGGAGGCCAGUAGGGGGAUGCGGAAUUCCGGGUGUAGUGGUGGAAUGCGUAGAGAUCCGGAGGAACACCAGCGGCGAAGGCGGCAUCCUGGACUGGUCCUGACACUCAUGAGCGAAAGCGUGGGGAGCGAUCCGG
rnacentral:rRNA from 1 species